CCCUGCACUGCAGCCUGGGUGACACAGUGAGACUCCAUCCCCCCCAAAAAAGUCAGGAAGCUGCUGAGAUCAUCCAGGUGAACGGUGAACCCACGUGGCCCCAACUGGAACAGGGACAGCAGAAAAGAUGACAAGAGGAGGUUCUGGAGAUAGAAUCCAUAGGACCCAGUUAUUGGUUCAAUGGGAAAAGGCCAAAGAGGGCUUGCCUCCUGCUUGGUCACUUCCCACCCCCAACAGGCCGGCCUUCAAAAGCGAGCUCUAGGCAGCGUGUGGGACCUCACGCCUGUAAUCGCAGCGCUUUGAGAGGCCGAGGAGGGAGGAUCACUUGAGACCAGUUCGAGACCAACCUGGGCAUCAUAGCGAGACCGCAUCUCUGCAAAUAAAAUAAAAUAAAAUUA